UGAGGAAUAUUGCACAAUGGGGGAAACCCUGAUGCAGCAACGCCGCGUGGAGGAUGACGCAUUUCGGUGUGUAAACUCCUUUUAUGAGUCAAGAAAAUGACGGUAGCUCAUGAAUAAGCACCGGCUAACUCCGUGCCAGCAGCCGCGGUAAUACGGAGGGUGCAAGCGUUACUCGGAAUCACUGGGCGUAAAGGACGCGUAGGCGGGUUGUCAAGUCAGGUGUGAAAUCCUACAGCUUAACUGUAGAACUGCACUUGAAACUGGCAACCUAGAGUAUGGGAGGGGGAGAUGGAAUUAGUAGUGUAGGGGUAAAAUCCGUAGAUAUUACUAGGAAUAUCAAAAGCGAAGGCGAUCUCCUGGAACAUUACUGACGCUAAGGCGUGAAAGCGUGGGGAGCAAACAGG
rnacentral:rRNA from 2 species